AUCGCUUCUCGGCCUUUAGGCUAAGAUCAAGUGUAGUAUCUGUUCUUAUCAGUUUAAUACUCAAAAAAUAUCAUUAUAGUUGAAUUCUCACUCAUGUGCCUUGUGUAUAUAUCUAUGACAAGGCUUGCAUGCCUGUUUAAAGCUUAAUUUUG
rnacentral:snRNA from 1 species